rnacentral:sRNA from 1 species
GGUGGGUGUGGUGGUGUACACCUGUAAUCCCAGAAGCUCUGGAGGCUGAGGCAGGAGGAUCACAAAUUCAAAGCCAGCCUCAGCAAUUUAGUGAGGCCCUAAACAACUCUGUGAGACCCAGUCUCUA